ACAGAGUUGGUUCCUUGAAAGGGGGCAUUGAAUUUCUAGAAAUUUGCGGGUUUGAGAAGAUAGAUGGUGGCGAGUUCUUGUUUUUGCCUAGGGACAAAGUUGAGAUGGCGAUCCUGAACACAGCCGGAUCUGAACUAGACUCUGCAAUUAAGAAUCCCUUUUUUGGAGUUCUUUAGAUAAGAUGGGCAAGUGUUAUAAAUCAUAUACUUGACUUGAUAUCAGUUUCAUAUUUCCAAGUCCACUGUUACCGAUGGUUCAUUAAACAGACUGUUAUUUCUUUACCUGAAGUUUGAGGUUUAUAAAUAUCUACAUAGUGAUAUAUAUUUGGCCUUCAUGUUUAUAUGGUUUAUACAGAUUUGUUCGAUGACUUGAUCUUAUA
rnacentral:lncRNA from 1 species